GCUCUUGUGGCACAGUGGUUAAGCACUGGGCUGCUAACCCAAAGGUCGGUGGUUCAAACCCACCAGCC
rfam:Loxodonta africana unplaced genomic scaffold scaffold_3, whole genome shotgun sequence.